UACGGGGGGGGCAAGCGUUGUUCGGAAUUACUGGGCGUAAAGGGCUCGUAGGUGGCCAACUAAGUCAGACGUGAAAUCCCUCGGCUUAACCGGGGAACUGCGUCUGAUACUGGAUGGCUUGAGUUCGGGAGAGGUGAGUGGAACUGCGAGUGUAGAGGUGAAAUUCGUAGAUAUUCGCAAGAACACCAGUGGCGAAGGCGGCUCACUGGCCCGAUACUGACGCUGAGGUGCGAAAGCGUGGGGAGCAAACAGG
rnacentral:rRNA from 1 species